rnacentral:lncRNA from 1 species
AUAGAACUAUUUUGGCCUGCCUGGCACCCCGUAAGAGAAAAGACUCUCUUCUGUGACCCUCCUUUGGGGAGCAGGAAACCUUUCCAAUGAGCUGCAUGUCCUGAAGCCUAUGAUUCUCACUGCUAACCGGGACUCCUGCUAGAGAUCAUUCUCCAUUGAAUGGAAUUAAGUGCUCUCAUCUCAAAUGGGCCUCGAACUUCAGCAUAGUGUGGCCAUUUUCAGUUAGCAGCCUAUCCGCAGGAAAUUGUGACAUUCCUGCUUUAUACGGAAGCAAAUAUUGAAUGUGUGUCAAAUGCAUCUCACCAACAGCCAUUCCUGAGUAAACACAUCAGAAGAUUCUAAUGAAGGUCUGCCGUCAGACGAAACUGUUCUUUUGCACUGUACAAAAAUAUCAACCGACAGCGUUAUGUCAGUGAAGUCUGAGACUACAUAAGGUCAACAUGAU